AACGAACCGCCGUAUACUGGGGGAUAACACUUAGAAAUAGGUGCUAAUACCGCAUAAGCGCACAGCUUCGCAUGAAGCGGUGUGAAAAACUCUGGUGGUAUACGAUGGUUCCGCGUCUGAUUAGCUAGUUGGUGGGGUAAUGGCCUACCAAGGCAACGAUCAGUAGCCGGCCUGAGAGGGGUGAACGGCCACAUUGGGACUGAGACACGGCCCAAACUCCUACGGAAGGCAGCAG
rnacentral:rRNA from 1 species